rnacentral:rRNA from 1 species
UACAGAGGGUGCAAGCGUUAAUCGGAAUUACUGGGCGUAAAGCGUGCGUAGACGGUUAUUUAAGUCAGGUGUGAAAGCCCCGGGCUCAACCUGGGAAUUGCAUUUGAGACUGAAUAGCUAGGGUGCGGAAGAGGGAAGCGGAAUUUCCGGUGUAGCGGUGAAAUGCGUAGAUAUCGGAAGGACCACCAGUGGCGAAAGCGGCUUCCUGGUCCAGCACCGACGUUCAGGCACGAAAGCGUGGGGAGCAAACAGG